rnacentral:rRNA from 1 species
CGAGCGUUAAUCGGAAUUACUGGGCGUAAAGCGUGCGCAGGCGGUUCGCUGUGUCCGAUGUGAAAGCCCCGGGCUUAACCUGGGAAUGGCAUUGGAAACUGGCGGGCUUGAGUGUGGCAGAGGGGGGUGGAAUUCCGCGUGUAGCAGUGAAAUGCGUAGAGAUGCGGAGGAACACCGAUGGCGAAGGCAGCCCCCUGGGCUAACACUGACGCUCAGGCACGAAAGCGUGGGGAGCAAACAGG